rnacentral:misc_RNA from 1 species
AACCAUAGAAACCUGCGGAGUACCUGCGGAAGGAUCAUUACAGAGUUGCAAAACUCCCUAAACCAUUGUGAACGUUACCUUAACCGUUGCUUCGGCGGGCGGCCCGGGUCCUUCCCGGCGCCCCUCGGCCCUCGCGGGCGCCCGCCGGAGGUAAACCAAACUAUUGCAUUGUAUGGCCUCUCUGAGUCUUCUGUACUGAAUAAGUCAAAACUUUUAACAACGGAUCUCAGAUCGGAAGAG